AAGGAAUAUUGGACAAUGGUCGGAAGACUGAUCCAGCCAUGCCGCGUGAAGGACGAAGGCGCUCAGCGUUGUAAACUUCUUUUGUACGGGAACAAAACCACCAAUGCGUUGGUGUCUGAGGGUACCGUAAGAAUAAGCACCGGCUAACUCCGUGCCAGCAGCCGCGGUAAUACGGAGGGUGCAAGCGUUAUCCGGAAUCACUGGGUUUAAAGGGUGCGUAGGCGGUUCGAUAAGUCAGUUGUGAAAUUCCCUCGCUUAACGAGUGGGACUGCGAUUGAUACUGUUGAACUUGAAUCAGGUUGAGGUAGGCGGAAUGUGACAUGUAGCGGUGAAAUGCAUAGAUAUGUCAUAGAACACCGAUUGCGAAGGCAGCUUGCUGGACCUGUAUUGACGCUGAGGCACGAAAGCGUGGGGAGCAAAC
rnacentral:rRNA from 1 species